rnacentral:rRNA from 1 species
CCUACGGGAGGCUGCAGUGAGGAAUAUUGGUCAAUGGACGAGAGUCUGAACCAGCCAAGUAGCGUGAAGGAUGACUGCCCUAUGGGUUGUAAACUUCUUUUAUAUGGGAAUAAAAUGUUCCACGUGUGGGAUUUUGUAUGUACCAUAUGAAUAAGGAUCGGCUAACUCCGUGCCAGCAGCCGCGGUAAUACGGAGGAUCUGAGCGUUAUCCGGAUUUAUUGGGUUUAAAGGGAGCGUAGGUGGAUUGUUAAGUCAGUUGUGAAAGUUUGCGGCUCAACCGUAAAAUUGCAGUUGAAACUGGCAGUCUUGAGUACAGUAGAGGUGGGCGGAAUUCGUGGUGUAGCGGUGAAAUGCUUAGAUAUCACGAAGAACUCCGAAUGCGAAGGCAGUUCACUGGACUGCAACUGACACUGAGGCUCGAAAGUGUGGGUAUCAAACAGGAUUAGAUACCCCUGUAGUC